UGGCUUAGAGGUUAAAGCAUCCGCCUGGAAUGCGGGAGACUGGGGUUCAAUCCCUG
rnacentral:tRNA from 1 species